rnacentral:rRNA from 1 species
UACGGAGGGAGCUAGCGUUGUUCGGAUAUACUGGGCGUAAAGCGCACGUAGGCGGCGCCGUAAGUCAGGGGUGAAAUCCCGGAGCUCAACUCCGGAACUGCCCUUGAAACUGCAGUGCUAGAAUUCUGGAGAGGCGAGUGGAAUUCCGAGUGUAGAGGUGAAAUUCGUAGAUAUUCGGAAGAACACCAGUGGCGAAGGCGACUCGCUGGACAGACAUUGACGCUGAGGUGCGAAAGCCAGGGGAGCAAACGGG